GGUCUUGACAUCCCGGAGACCCUUAGGAAACUAGGGGGUGGCUUCCAUCUGGAAGAAUCUGGAGACAGGUGCUGCAUGGCUGUCGUCAGCUCGUGUCGUGAGAUGUUGGGUUAAGUCCCGCAACGAGCGCAACCCUUGCCUUUAGUUGCCAGCAGUUCGGCUGGGCACUCUAAAGGGACUGCCGGUGGUUAAAAAACCGGAGGAAGGUGGGGAUGACGUCAAGUCCUCAUGGCCUUUAUGACCAGGGCUACACACGUACUACAAUGGCCGAUACAAAGGGCAGCGACACUGCGAGGUGAAGCCAAUCCCGUAAAAUCGGUCUCAGUCCGGAUUGGAGUCUGCAACUCGACUCCAUGAAGUUGGAAUCGCUAGUAAUCGUGGAUCAGCAUGCCACGGUGAAUACGUUCCCGGGCCUU
rnacentral:rRNA from 1 species